UGCCAGCAGCCGCGGUAAUACGGAGGGGGCGAGCGUUAUUCGGAAUUACUGGGCGUAAAGGGUGCGUAGGCGGCCCAUCAAGUUAGACGUGAGAGCCCCGGGCUCAACCUGGGAAUUGCGUUUAAUACUGGUGAGCUAGAGUACGAGAGAGGAAAGUGGAAUUCCUAGUGUAGAGGUGAAAUUCGUAGAUAUUAGGAAGAACACCAGUGGCGAAGGCGACUUUCUGGGUCGAUAUUGACGCUGAGGCGCGAAGGCGUGGGUAGCGAACGGGAUUAGAUA
rnacentral:rRNA from 1 species